rnacentral:lncRNA from 10 species
CUCCUCCUUCAGCCUCCCGAGUAGCUGGGAUUACAGGCAUGUGCCAAUACGCCCAGCUAAUUUUUGUAUUUUUAGUAGAGACGGGGUUUCACCAUGUUGGCCAGGCUGGUCUUGAACUCCUGACCUCAAAUGAUCCAUCCACCUCGGCCCCACAAAGUGCUGGUCACAUGCAUGAGUCACUGCACCUGGCCUUGGGUUAGGUUUCACUUCCUCCAUUAGACAUUUGACAUUUUAUUGUAGCAGCUUUCUGGGUUAAUAUCUCUUUGUGAUUGAUAGAAGUGGUUGGAAGAGGAAGAGUAGGGAAAAGUGUGACAUUACAGAUUAAACAGUGAAAAUCAGUACCAUAAUGACUCCUUUACACCCAUGAGAUACGUACCAUGAUGACCAGGGCUCGGUGAAAGAAAGAUUUCUUUUUUUUUUUUUGAGAUAGUCUCACUUUGUUGCCCAGUCUGGAGUGCAGUGGCGCAAUCUCGGCUCACGGCAACCUCUGCCUCCCGGGUUCAAGUGAUUCUCCUGUCUCAGCCUCCCAAGUAGCUGGGACUACAGGUGCAUGCCACCACACCUGGCUAAUUUUUGUAUUUUUAGUGGAGACAGGGAGUCACCAUGUUGGCCAGGCUGGUCUCGAUCUCCUGACCUCAAGUGAUCCAGCUGCCUCAGCCUCCCAAAGUGCUGAGAUUACAGGCGUGAGCCACUGUGCCCAGCCAAAAGAACGAUUUCUUAGAUGGAGGACCUAGGAACCAACAGAUGGGCUGCUGUAUUACUCUUACCCCUUUCAUUUUCCUGUAUGCUUCUUCCCAAGGCAGCAUCAAAUUUUGAAUUAAUUUUUGCUGCUUAAUAAGGACUUAAACUGGUACCCAAGUCAGAAAGACUCUGCCUCUAAUUUUCUGGGGCUUGGGGAUGAAGAUAAAGUGUUACACCCAGUGUUUGUCCACCACAGUCUGUGGGGCAGAGAGACCCUUCCUGGGACUGAAUUCUCAAUUUGAAGCACUGUUGUUCAAAGAUCUCCCUUCUGGGUCUGACAAGAAGAAACAUAACCCUUAUUUAUUGCAUUCUUCUGGCUUACAUACAUUGCCCUCACUAAUCAAUGGACAUUUCAGCAUUUCAUUACUAAUUUUGAGAGAAGGCCACCAUGGAAUUUAAUAAAAAUAUUAUUGAAGAGAAUUGCCAUCAUUCUCCAUUUUCCCUGAACUACCACAAGCUUCUCAGAAUUUUAGACAAAUGUUUUUCCCCUCAGAACUGAGCAUCAGUGCUGCUUUGGAAAAACAUUCCAUGUGAAUACUGUGGUUUCAGUGUCAGGACCUGUACUUGGGCAGUUGGAAGAGAGUGUGCCAGUUUUUUACUGGGAGAUGGGAACACCAAUUUAAUUGAUGCAAUUAGGUUGUAGGUUUUUUACAGUUUUUCUUUUCUUUUCUUUUUCUUUUUCUUUUCUUUUCUUUUCUUUUUUUUUUUUUGAGACAUAGGCUGGCUCUGUCACCUAGGCUGGAAUACAAUGGCAUGAUCUCGGCUUACUGCAACCUCCGCCUCCUAGGUUCAAGCAAUUCUGCCUCGGCCUCCCAAAUAGCAGGGAUUACAGGCACCUGCCACCACUCCCAGCUAAUUUUUUGUAUUUUUAUUAGAGAUGAGGUUUCGCCAUGUUGGCCAGGCUGGUCUUGAACUCCUGACCUGAGGUGAUCCACCCGUCUCGGCCUCCCAAAGUG